rnacentral:rRNA from 1 species
UACGUAGGGUGCGAGCGUUAAUCGGAAUUACUGGGCGUAAAGCGUGCGCAGGCGGUUCGUUAAGUUCGUUGUGAAAGCCCCGGGCUCAACCUGGGAACUGCAAUGGAAACUGGCGGGCUUGAAUGCGGCAGAGGGGGGUGGAAUUCCGCGUGUAGCAGUGAAAUGCGUAGAGAUGCGGAGGAACACCGGUGGCGAAGGCGGCUAUCUGGACAGAGUCUGACGCUGAGGCGCGAAAGCUAGGGGAGCAAACAGG